GAGUCGUAACAAGGUUUCCGUAGGUGAACCUGCGGAAGGAUCAUUAAUGAAUUUUGGAGUUCUACUGUGCCUGCCGUUCAUUCGGAUGUGUGCACGUAGUCUCUAUAAAUCCUUAUCAACACCUGUGCACCUUUAAAAAGGGGGGAGUCUGAUUAAGCAUUUUAUGAUGCUUAUGACGAAUAACCUCUUUUCUUAUACAAACUCUUUUAAUGUCUAUUAGAAUGUUCUCUGGCCGCAAGGCUAUAAAAUAUAAACAACUUUUAACAACGGAUCUCUUGGCUCUC
rnacentral:misc_RNA from 1 species